GGUCAUGAUCUCACUGUUCGUGGGUUCCAGCCCCGUGUCAGGCUCUGUGCUGAUAGCUCGGAGACUGGAUCCUGCUUCGGAUUCUGUGUCUCCCUCUCUCUGCCCCUCCCCUGCUUGUUUCUCUCUGUCUCUGUCUCUCUCUCAAAAAUAAAGAAACAUAAAAAAAUUUUAAAAAAUUGCGGUUUGGGGGUAAAGCAAUCCUUCAGAAAGUUUCUAAGAACCUAUGAACUGAGGAGAUGAACUGUCUACAUCGCAUCUUUUAGGUCCGGGAGUAUUACUUGGAGCUUUUUGUUUUCAUCUUUUUAGGACAUCUCGUUAGGAUUCUGACUGUUUCCUGCACAGAACUCAGGCGAACACAAAGCAGGAUGUAUUGGCAAGAUUCAAAUACUAGCAAGCAUCAAGGGGUCUGAGGUGAAACACGGGUCUGGACUUCCCCGAUGCCCAGCCAGCCCAACUUCAGCCUGGUCAUCAGGAAGGGGAAACUGAUCGCGUUCAGCAGAGCCUUGGCCUGUUUUGGAGGCAAAAUUCACCAUGAUUCAGUGCACUGGGCCUCCUGCGAGUGUUUUCCGUGUAACCAAUGGGAAGUGGGAGAGGUGGCCCUCAUCCUGAAAGAGCUGGACAGCGACACAGACAGAGAACUGAUUUUCUGGGCUCCACACAUCAGCUUGGGUAAGUAUCUGCAGCAUAACUCCAGGGAGAAACUUAUCAAGCAUGUACAUGAGUCUGCAGAGCUGAUACUCAUGAGCUAUUAUUACGAGGGUGCUAGAUUUGAAAUAACUGGUAAACUUUAGAUAAACCUCAGAUCUAUAAACUCUAAAGAGAAGAAGAUAGACAUGAGAUGAUGAUUGUGCUGUAUUGUUUGGACUUUUGUGUUAUUUUUGUGUCUUCUUUCCUAUAUCACUAGGAUGGCAGAGGGGUUGGGGGUGUUGAGAAGUGUGUCUUGGGCUCAGACAUCUAGAGAAGAUACUGAUAGCAUCAGGAGCAAAUAGGCACAAGGGCAUG
rnacentral:lncRNA from 1 species